UACGGAGGGUGCAAGCGGUGCUCGGACUUACUGGGCGUAAAGCGCGUGUCGGCGGUCUCGUGUGUCUGGCGUGAAAGCCCCGGGCUCACCCCGGGAAGUGCGUUGGAAACUGCGAGACUAGAGUUCCGGAGAGGAAGGUGGAAUUCCAGGUGUAGCGGUGAAAUGCGUAGAUAUCUGGAAGAACACCGGUGGCGAAGGCGGCCUUCUGGACGGUGACUGACGCUGAGACGCGAAAGCGUGGGGAGCAAACAGG
rnacentral:rRNA from 1 species